UCGGAGAUCAGAGAUGUCACUGGGUAUACUUUGUAUCAGAGGGAGUUCUAGAGUAGAGAAGAGUGGAAGUUGUUAGACCCUUGGCAUUCCCCAUAGCCUUGCUAGGAACUAUGGUGUUUCCACAAGAUGAAUCGUUGGCCAUAGCCACCCGAAUGAUCUACUUAACCCACGCUAUCUGUAGACACGUAAUUUUGACCCUCCUCGUGUGUUUUAUCUUAUAGUUUUAAAUAUUUCUUUUAAUUUUAAUUUUUGACGUGUUAGUUUUAUUCUAUUUUUAUUUAGUAGGCUUAUUUGCGAAAAUCAAAAGGAACAAAAUAUUUGCUAUAUUUAGAGUUUAAGUUUUGUGUUUUAAAGAAAGAAAAAUUACAAAAACUAUGCUUUAUAGGUUUCAAUUUUGCUUAGCCAGUUAUUUAUUUUAAGAGUAUUUUGUUUUAAGCUAUCUAGAAAUAGUUCUUAAUUUUUUUUUUUUGUUUUUACACCCUUAAAAUAAAAAAUAAAAAAUAAUAAUAGAAAAUGAGCAAAAAGGAUUAUACCACCUCACCAUAAAAUGACAAAACUUGAUAACAAACCUUAUUUUUUUAGUUAUCUAGGAAUAGUUAUUAAAUAUUUAUCUUUUAUAUUAAAAAAAAAAAAAGGGGGGGGAUUACACCACCUAAUCACAAAAUGACAAAACUUUAUAACAAACCUCAAAAUGGAAGGGAUCACGUUUUUUAAAAAACAAAAAAAGUAUUUUUUUAUUUCUUUAUUGUUAUGGGGUGGGUCCCACAUAAAAAAAAAUAAUUAACAAAAAAAAAAAAACGUGAAAAGAAGGGGAGAAUCUUUUCUGUUGUUGGCAGAGUAACAACAUGCUCCUCUCCAUUUUUUUUUUGUCCUUUUAUAUAAAGAAAGCAACAAACAAAUGAAAAAGGGGGGAUGAAUCGUCUUCUUCAUUCAUCAUCUUCAUUUCUUCACCUAUAAACACCACCCUAUUCCCGUCACCACCUAAAACCAACGAACCCACCUGAAAAUCAUCCCAAACACCGCACUUUUUUUUUUUUUCUGUCAUUAAAACCCACCUGAAAAUACCUUCAUAGACACCAUGGAACUCAUGAUUAGAUCAUUAUAGGUUCAUUCUCAAAAAAAAAAAAAAAAUGUGUUGUCGAGUUCGAAGCUGUCCGGUCUAGGUGUUGUCGAGGUCCAAGGCUACAGCAGGUUCAUUCCGGUGUGAUUUGAGGUACACCAGAUGAGCCACAGUUAUCAUAGAAGAUGUUCCAGCGGGGUUAGCAGGCUCCACUCGUUCUGGAGUGCUGCCGAGUCAGAGUAUCUGAGCCAUGAUGUUUGCUUGAUGUUAGAGACUUUGCAGAUAGAGUCGUAGGUAUUGGGUUGUCAGUCUGUAAGCGGCUCCAGCAGCCGAUAUGUUAUUAUGUUUCAUGUCACGAGUCUUAUAUGAUGUCAGAUUCUACUUAUGAAGAAAAAUAAUUUGGGAGAGCUUACUAUGUAUUUAUUUCUUAAGUGAUUCAAGAGUUUCUAUA